rnacentral:tRNA from 1 species
GAAGGUGAAGCCAAAGCACAGAGGCGGGCCUCCGUUACAGGCUUGAUUGGGAGGGUCCUCCCUACCUUUA